UACGGGGGGAGCAAGCGUUGUUCGGAUUUACUGGGCGUAAAGGGCGCGUAGGCGGCCACCGCAAGUCGACUGUGAAAUCUCCGGGCUUAACCCGGAAAGGUCAGCCGAUACUGCGGGGCUAGAGUGCAGAAGGGGCAACUGGAAUUCUCGGUGUAGCGGUGAAAUGCGUAGAUAUCGAGAGGAACACCUGCGGCGAAGGCGGGUUGCUGGGCUGACACUGACGCUGAGGAGCGAAAGCGUGGGUAGCAAACAGG
rnacentral:rRNA from 1 species